GCUUGUUGGGGUUGUAGGACACUCUAUACGGAGUUACAAAGGACGACAUUAGACGAAUCAUCUGGAAAGAUGAAUCAAAGAAGGUAAUAAUCCUGUAGUCGAAAAUGUUGUCUCUCUUGAGUGGAUCCUGAGUACGACGGAGCACGUGAAAUUCCGUCGGAAUCUGGGAGGACCAUCUCCUAAGGCUAAAUACUCUCUAGUGACCGAUAGUGAACCAGUACCGUGAGGGAAAGGUGAAAAGCACCCCGGAAGGGGAGUGAAAUAGAACCUGAAACCGUGUGCUUACAAGUAGUCAGAGCCCGUUAAUGGGUGAUGGCGUGCCUUUUGUAGAAUGAACCGGCGAGUUACGAUUUGAUGCAAGGUUAAGCAGUAAAUGUGGAGCCGUAGCGAAAGCGAGUCUGAAUAGGGCGUUUAGUAUUUGGUCGUAGACCCGAAACCAGGUGAUCUACCCUUGGUCAGGUUGAAGUUCAGGUAACACUGAAUGGAGGACCGAACCGACUUACGUUGAAAAGUGAGCGGAUGAACUGAGGGUAGCGGAGAAAUUCCAAUCGAACCUGGAGAUAGCUGGUUCUCUCCGAAAUAGCUUUAGGGCUAGCCUCAAGUGAUGAUUAUUGGAGGUAGAGCACUGUUUGGACGAGGGGCCCCUCUCGGGUUACCGAAUUCAGACAAACUCCGAAUGCCAAUUAAUUUAACUUGGGAGUCAGAACAUGGGUGAUAAGGUCCGUGUUCGAAAGGGAAACAGCCCAGACCACCAGCUAAGGUCCCAAAAUAUAUGUUAAGUGGAAAAGGAUGUGGCGUUGCCCAGACAACUAGGAUGUUGGCUUAGAAGCAGCCAUCAUUUAAAGAGUGCGUAAUAGCUCACUAGUCGAGUGACACUGCGCCGAAAAUGUACCGGGGCUAAACAUAUUACCGAAGCUGUGGAUUGUCCUUUGGACAAUGGUAGGAGAGCGUUCUAAGGGCGUUGAAGCAUGAUCGUAAGGACAUGUGGAGCGCUUAGAAGUGAGAAUGCCGGUGUGAGUAGCGAAAGACGGGUGAGAAUCCCGUCCACCGAUUGACUAAGGUUUCCAGAGGAAGGCUCGUCCGCUCUGGGUUAGUCGGGUCCUAAGCUGAGGCCGACAGGCGUAGGCGAUGGAUAACAGGUUGAUAUUCCUGUACCACCUAUAAUCGUUUUAAUCGAUGGGGGGACGCAGUAGGAUAGGCGAAGCGUGCGAUUGGAUUGCACGUCUAAGCAGUAAGGCUGAGUAUUAGGCAAAUCCGGUACUCGUUAAGGCUGAGCUGUGAUGGGGAGAAGACAUUGUGUCUUCGAGUCGUUGAUUUCACACUGCCGAGAAAAGCCUCUAGAUAGAAAAUAGGUGCCCGUACCGCAAACCGACACAGGUAGUCAAGAUGAGAAUUCUAAGGUGAGCGAGCGAACUCUCGUUAAGG
rnacentral:rRNA from 1 species